AGCCGCCUUCUCCGAAUUCCGUCCCCUCUUCUCACUGAACAACAAUGGAGUCCAAACCCUCAAUCGGAUUCGGACCCUCCAGUAGUCCUCUGCUCUCUCUUUCUACCUUCGUCCACCAACACUGGUCCCGACUCGGUGCCGAACUCACCACUCGUUUCGACGAAGCUAAGCGGCUGACUUCAAAAUUCGCCGCCGACUUUGUUCCGCCGCCGCCACUGCCGGCAUCGCAUUCUUAUCCUCUAUCUCUUCCAUUUGCUUCUGUGUCGCAGCGUCAAGAUAAGGUCCGUAAAAACGCCGGUUUGAGCUCAGACUAUGUGGCUAAGACACUAAUUGGAACAUCUGUAUACACUGUUAGCAAUUCUAAUAAUGAAUUCGUGCUCAUUUCGGACCCUAACGGUGCUAAAUCAAUCGGAUUAUUGUGCUUCCGUCAAGAGGAUGCCGAGGCGUUUCUCGCUCAGGUACGGUUGCGGAAGGGCGAAGUUAGAGGUGGAGCUAAGGUAGUUCCACUGACACUUGAUCAGGUUUACAUGUUGAAGGUUGAAGGAAUCGCAUUUCGAUUUUUGCCAGAUCCCGUUCAAGUUCAGAAUGCAAUAGAGUUAAAAGCUUCUGAUGUAAAGACUGGAUUUGAUGGAGUCCCUGUUUUCCAGUCUGACCUCCUAGUUGUGAAAAAGAGAAACAGACGAUACUGUCCAAUAUACUUUCGAAAGGAGGAUAUAGAAAAGGAAUUGUCGUCAAGGGCAUCUAGAGGAGGCGUUUCUCAGCACAUUAUGGUAGGGAGUUUAGAAGAUGUCCUUAAAAAAAUGGAGAUAAGUCAGAGACAUUCUGGUUGGGAGGACCUUAUUUUUAUUCCUCCAGGCAAAAGCCAUUCACAGCACAUUCAAGAUGUCACAAAAGCAUGAAUUUCUUGGAAGCAACUUCUGUUCGAAAAAAAUCCAAAUAGAGGCAGGUUCACAUUCCCCCCCCCCCUGCACUUGGUCGACCAGAAAAAUCCAAAUAGUUAAGCUCCGUAGUGCUGGAAUAGCUUAAAGAUGCAUGAAGGAUCAAGUUUUGCUUGAAAAUUUAAUGGGGGAACAACUAACAUGGUAUACAUUAAGUCGAUGAGUUGGUAACUAGAGUGGCAUAAUAUACUCGGUGUCAUCUGUACAUGCACAGUUUGAAUUGUUAAAUUACGUUUCGCUCUUCUGCCAUAACUUUUGUUGAUUCAUGAGAUAAAAAUUUUCCAGUAAUGCAUCCAUUAUUUAAUAC